AAGAAGAAAGAAGCAAGGAAUCGAGUUGUAGUGCAAAGAUCCAAGGGCAAAUCUGAGUUUAUUGAGGUACUUCCGCAAGCAAAGGGAAGAGCUCGGGAUGAUGGCAUCGCACACACCACCGCCUUAGCUCUAGCCUGGGAUUGAUUUAGUUGCUUUGAUUUGAUGUAGUAUGAUACAGUUUUCCGCACAGUAUUUUAUUAUGGUUUGGAAUACAUCACGCAUGGUUUUAUUA